UACGGGGGGAGCAAGCGUUGUUCGGAUUUACUGGGCGUAAGGGCGCGUAGGCGGCCACCGCAAGUCGACUGUGAAAUCUCCGGGCUUAACCCGGAACGGUCAGCUGAUACUGCUUUGCUAGAGUGCAGAAGGGGCAAUCGGAAUUCUUGGUGUAGCGGUGAAAUGCGUAGAUAUCAAGAGGAACACCUGAGGUGAAGACGGGUUGCUGGGCUGACACUGACGCUGAGGCGCGAAAGCUAGGGUAGCAAACGGG
rnacentral:rRNA from 1 species